rnacentral:snRNA from 1 species
CGUUAUAUGCUUCGACACAAAACGAGGUCCACCCGAGGCGUGAUUAUUGCUAGUUGAAAACUUUUCCCAAUACCCCGCCUGGUGGACGUGAAAUACCGUCCACACGGCAAUUUUUAUGAACAGAGCUUCAUUCUA